GCCCAGCUUGCUGGGUGGAUCAGUGGCGAACGGGUGAGUAACACGUGAGCAACCUGCCCUCCACUUCGGGAUAAGCCUUGGAAACGGGGUCUAAUACCGGAUAUGAGUGCCUGCUGCAUGGUGGGUGCUGGAAAGUUUUUCGGUGGGGGAUGGGCUCGCGGCCUAUCAGCUUGUUGGUGGGGUAAUGGCCUACCAAGGCGUCGACGGGUAGCCGGCCUGAGAGGGCGACCGGCCACACUGGGACUGAGACACGGCCCAGACUCCUACGGGAGGCAGCAGUGGGGAAUAUUGCACAAUGGGCGAAAGCCUGAUGCAGCGACGCCGCGUGAGGGAUGACGGCCUUCGGGUUGUAAACCUCUUUCAGCAGGGAAGAAGCGCAAGUGACGGUACCUGCAGAAGAAGCGCCGGCUAACUACGUGCCAGCAGCCGCGGUAAUACGUAGGGCGCAAGCGUUGUCCGGAAUUAUUGGGCGUAAAGAGCUCGUAGGCGGUUUGUCGCGUCUGGUGUGAAAACCUCAGGCUCAACCUGGGGCGUGCAUCGGGUACGGGCAGACUAGAGUGCGGUAGGGGAGACUGGAAUUCCUGGUGUAGCGGUGGAAUGCGCAGAUAUCAGGAGGAACACCGAUGGCGAAGGCAGGUCUCUGGGCCGCAACUGACGCUGAGGAGCGAAAGCAUGGGGAGCGAACAGGAUUAGAUACCCUGGUAGUCCAUGCCGUAAACGUUGGGCACUAGGUGUGGGGCUCAUUCCACGAGUUCCGUGCCGCAGCUAACGCAUUAAGUGCCCCGCCUGGGGAGUACGGCCGCAAGGCUAAAACUCAAAGGAA
rnacentral:rRNA from 1 species